rnacentral:lncRNA from 1 species
AAAGACAAAAAAGUACUAAACAAAGCUAAAGCACAUAGAUCAACUACUUAAAAGUACCCUAAACCCUAGAACCCCACCUUAAACCCCGCUUAUUUUCCCCUAAACUUAGAUUAGGCUUCCUUCCAUAUCCACAUUACCAGCUGCAUAACACAUAACAAAGCAUCCCCAAAAGCACUUAUACAAGCUAAGUAGAAGUCCUAAUCUCCCUUCUCUUUUAGCACCACAAAGCUUCACAUAAUGUAGCACCCAUUGGGAUUUUCAUCACUGAACAACCCAUAGGAAUCGGACGGCUGUGGUAAGUUGUAGGAUGGCUGAUGAUAUGGAUAGUACGGCUGAGAUGCAUAGUUGUCCAAAUGAUAGGAUGGGG